GAAUAAACCAUGAAGGAACAGAGAAAGCACAAGUCACAGCACUCAAGUGCCUAAGUAUAAACCGGUGUGAGUAAUUAGGGGAAUUAAUUCUGAGGACCGAGCCGCAGCUGAGUGGGUUUCCCCUCUUUAUACAGGUAAAUGGGACAGGAGCACAGCGUGCACCCACUGAGGAGGCUUCGCUUCAUUGCGACACUGGGUGACCAGCCGAGAGGACGCCAGCCCUGCUGCUCUGGGCACAACCACCUUUAUACGGGGCCAGGCCUGUCCCCCGCAGGAUAACAGACAUCCCCACUCUUCCGCGAGACCAGAGAAAGCAGCACACAGAAGCACCAGGAGAGGAGGGGAAGUAAAGGAGCUGCUCACCUGCAAGCAAACACACAGCAGACCCUUUCCAAUGCUGAGCAGAACUGAACUGGAUGGAAAUGCAAAAAGGAAUGGAAGAGAAGGAAACAUCCAAAUGAAGGUCUCUCACCAGCUUCAUCACCCUCCUCUGGACACAUUCCAGCACCUCAACAUCUCUCUUGAAUCGAGGGGCCCAGAACUGGACACAGUACUCAAGGUGUGGCCUGACCAGUGCUGAGUACAGAGGAAGAAUAACUUCCCUCUAUGGCAACAUUACAGCACUGUGGAUGGCUAUGGAAAGACAAGAAGACAGAAGCAAAACAAAGCUCUUCGAAGAAUGAGACAAACCCAGUGAUUAAACAGAGGUUCUUCCAUCUCUUGAUAGAUGGCAAACUUCGAAUGGCCAAUGUCCCAGUGGAAAGCAAGUUGACAUAAGAGAGAGAGUGUUUUCUUCUGAAUUGCACCCCUGAUGAGCCAGAAGACCAGCAUCUAGACAUCUGACUACCUGUAAAUCCUCUCACUGAUAGAACACUUCCCAGAGAACAGAGCAAGUAUGAACAGGAAGGAAGUACUGCACGAAAUGAGGAGCAUACUUUGGCAAUCCUGGAG